UACGUAGGCAGCAAGCGUUGUUCGGAGUUACUGGGCGUAAAGAGUGCGUAGGCGGUCCUCUAAGUUUGGUGUGAAAUCUCCCGGCUCAACCGGGAGGGUGCGCCGAAAACUGGGGGGCUUGAGUGCCGGAGAGGAUAGCGGAAUUCCUGGUGUAGCGGUGAAAUGCGUAGAUAUCGGGAGGAACACCUGUGGUGUAGACAGCUAUCUGGACGGCCACUGACGCUGAGGUACGAAAGCGUGGGUAGCAAACAGG
rnacentral:rRNA from 1 species